AGACACUAUAAAGCGAUCAACAAAAAUUCAAUUUUUUACAUGCAAAGAAAGAUAAAAAUGGCAAAAACUUGCAAGCUUGUGUUUGCUUUGAUUUUAUUUGUUUCCCUAUAUCUUGUUUCAAUGAGCGCUGAAUUGGGUGGUCCAUGUCGCAGUGAUGAGGAAUGUCCACAACUCUCUUUAAGAUUUUUCGCGAUCAAGUGUCGUGAAAAUGUAUGUAUAUAUGUUGAUUUGGAUCCAUAUAAACCUCGUGCAGAGAAGAAUCAGUUCCUACACUAGUAAAAAUAUUAUGCAAUAUAAAAUAUGCUUGAUUAUUUCAUAGUUUCUAUUUAGUUAUUACAAUCAAUCCCAAUAAUUGUAUUUUUCAUUUCCUUUCGUAGCUUCACAAACAUUGAAAUUAUGGCUUUAUUAUCUAAGAUGUUGGUAAUAAAUUAAAUAAGUCACUAAAUAAUAUUAUAAUUAGCUUGUUUAUUUCUCUCUUAA